UGAAAAUCAAAUGAACUGAAUAACGAUCUCGUAAAUGCGCGAUUUUAUUACAAACUCAACACAAGAGCAAAUGGAAUUGAGAUGUCAAAUGUGUGUUUUGCAAAACGCGUUUUCCUUCUUUGUCCACUAUUACAACAAAUGAUUCCCACGCCGCAGACUUGCAUUUUUCAGUGAGCUUCUGUUCAUGGAAUUCGUUUUUCUUAAGUUUUUCUUUCACGUCCUUCAUAAACAAAUCCAGAUGAUCUGAAAGAAACCCCUUCGAUAUGGGUCACGUCUCUGCUGCUGCGCUCUGCUAGCCGCGUCAUGUGUUACAGAGGGAAGCCAAUCCGCGCAACAGGAAUUCAAAACAAUGACAGCUAUUCAUAUAUGAAUGAGUAUUUUACAAUAAAACAUCUUGAAAAUCCAUUCAGGAAGAAAAAGCAAAACAAUCAGAUGAAAAACAGUUCGACACAAGUAAAGGAAAUAACAAAAUACAGUGAGUCAGUCCUGCUCAACAGAGACACACGGGAAUACAGUUUGCCGUACUGUAAGCAACAAGAGUGUCUUAUCCAGCAUCCAGGAUUUCUGCAGCACUGAUAAGAUUCACCCAACUACCUUGACCAUGUAUCGGAACAAGUGGACAAAUACAGGGGGCAGACUGUGUCUCUGGAGAAGCCAGCAGGACGGAAGAAGAAUAUGAUAAAUUAAUGCAGGAUGAAGAAGUAAAGAAAAUGAAAGAGGAGACCAGAAAAUUCAACAAAAGCAAAGAAGCCGAAUUUCUGGGCAUACUGGCCCGCAUUGAAGAAAAAGAGAAUGCAGAAAAGGUUGCAUCCAGUGAAGUUAUGCCUUCUAAUCACCACUGCCCCAAGAAUGUAGUAGUUCAGUUGUGGAAGCAUGCAGAUGAAUCGUUCAGAUUUCAUUUAAGUGAUGCCUAUUAUGAGAUGUGGUGCAAGAUCUUCCAGCUGCUAGGGCUGACAAGUGAAGAGCUGAAA